rnacentral:lncRNA from 1 species
CUCGGAUUCGUUACACUUGUGAUCUUUAGUAGACUCUUCGUGGUUUUCUGGUGUAGUUGAGAUGUCAGAACUCAUAUGAUUGGAAAUUGAAUUAGGGUAUCCAUCUUCACAAGCAAAACUAGAUCUUAAUGAUGAACGCUUUCGCUUGUAUGUGAAAACCACUUUACUGCCAACCAUUUGGACUGUUAUAGAUGAUUUCUGCAGCUGGACUCUAGAACUUUACCCCUCUAGAAGAAUGAAGCAUUUCACUUCUUACAUACAGUAAAAUACCAGUUGAUUUUCAAAUCAUUUAGAUAACUGCGAAAGUAGAUUGAUUGAUUAAAAACUAAAUAAGAGAGAGAUAGAGAGAGAUGUUUCACAUGGGCCAAUAGUUACUGAGAAAAAGAAAGUCAGCAGAACAUGCUAUAAAAGGAAAAUUCAGUUUAUAAAUGCUACAAUUUAAAGUAACUACUGAUAUACCAAAACUAGAUGCAUAUGAAAUUAUGAAUCUAAAAAACAUUGAUAUUUUUUUUAUUAGCAAAUCCAAAUCAGAUGUUGUCCAUAUAGUAAAUAAAACAAUUUUUUGGAAAUAAAAUGGAUGUAAUCCAGAUGUGAGGGCAAAUAGAUAGCCAUAUUACAUGAGAAUUUGCAAACUCUGACAGGAACCAUUGCAGUAAACACUUUAAUAUACAGACAAAGAGUUUUUAUCUCCUACAAUUUCGACAUUUCAAAUUCUAAUUAAUCACAGUAUAGAAACAAGACAAUUUUAUGUGAUCCUUGUUGGAACUUGUGACUCAUAACAUAGAAAUUACUGAAAAAGGCUAGUGUGAAACGGAGCGAGGGGCCCUCCGCGGUACGGUACAGAGUUUCUGCAUGUAUGGUACGGGGCGCGCCGAUGCAAGGCUGAGAGUGACCCAGGGUGCGCUAGGGUCUGUGCAGUUACUGCACAUGUGGCGCGGGGCGCGCCAAGGACAGCUUGGGAGCGGCGCGGGCCGCGCCGGUCGGCGGACUAAAGUUUAAUAGUUUGUUUUUGGGAGAACAUUAUGGGUAUUUGAGACAUAAUGUGAAGUAGGGUUGAAAUAGGAUUAGUGGCUAUAAAUACUAUCUAUUGUAAAGCCUUAUGUAACUAAGGAAUCAUUAAUAAAACAACAAGCUGCCUAUGGAGUACCCAAAUUGAGAAACCACGUAAAUCUCUGUGUUAAUCCUUAAUUAUCUAUUGUCGUGUGUGUGAUCUUAAUUUCUAACAAUCCUCAUUGACAAUAAAUUUAAAACUUUUCAGGAUGUAUUUAUGUCAAGUGAAUUCAAUUAUGCAUUUCUUUCAAAUUGCACAUUUCUUGUGAAAUCCCUACAGCUGUUUUGCACCUCGGAAAAACUGACAGGAAAAGGAAAAAAAUGAUAAAAACAACUUAAUUCCCUUUAUUAAACACAAAGUCGACUAUCUGUAUUAUUAUAAAACCUAAUACCAAUUAAAUUAUACAUUCACAUGUGAUGGAUCUCUUUGGAAAACUUUUCUUUUUCUACUUCUUUUUUCUUUUCUUAUCAUCCCUCAUUUUUCCAGUGUUCCUACUGUAAAAUACCUCGUAUACCACAGGAUUAAACCAAAAUUUGAAUAGCAAACCAAUGGAACUAAGUUACUUUCCAAUACCCUUUUUCCUUGAGCAAAAUUCUUCGGCUUAUCUCUUUUUGAACCAUUUCGGUAAAGUAGAAUUCAACCAAAAUAGCAAAACAGAAGUUUAAAAUUAUUUGUGAAAAGUUAAUUAUAAAGUCUCUAAUAACAGAGCAAAAAAAUUUGUUCCAAAACUAUCAACUACAAUACUCUAUCAUGUCCACAAGUUAAUAACAUUCCCAAAUAAACACUUCCUCGGCAAUUUUACUAACUUAACUUUGAAACUUUAUACCCUAUCCUAUACAGUGCAAUUCAUAUAGAUUUAAUUCAUGUCUCUAAAUAAUUAACAAAUAUACUUAUACUUAGAACCAUAAGUUAAUAAACAAACACAUUUAGUUAAGUACAGCUAGAAAACUGAACUAAAAGAAUAAUUGAUAGUCCCGAGGCCAAAAAUAUACAUACAUACACACAUAAUACUAGUGAAGAACACACUUGAGAUAUAUGAAGAAAGUAAACAAUUCAUCCGUAAUUUUACUAACUCAGAUUUGAAACUUUAUACCCCAUCCUUUACAAUGCAAUUUAUAUAGAUAUAGUAAAUUACCAAAUAUACUUGCAGUCUUGCACUUAAACCAGAAGUUAAAAAACAAACACAUUUCACCACUCCAAUCAAUGAAAAUUUUCAACUACAGCAACAAAACUUAACUGAAAGUAAUUGAUAGUCCCAAGGCCAAAUAUAUAUAUACAUUCAUAAAUGUAGAUUUAAUUUUUGUCUUUAAAUAAAUUAACAAAUAUACUUAUACUUAAAACCAGAAGUUAAAAAACAUACACAUUUCAUCUGUCCAGUCGAUGAAACUAAUUAAAGAUGAAAACUGAACUGAAAGAAUAAUUGAUAGUCCCGAGGCCAAAUAUAUACAUACAUACAUACAUACAUACAUAACACUUGAGAAGAAAGUACGACGUGAAAUGAGUUACCGGAAUCUACUUGCCUGAGAAGAAGCCGGCCGGCGGUGAGGAUUGAAGAUUUGGAGUUAGAGUUAAGCCGUACUCUUACUUCUCUUCUCUCUUAUUGCCUUUUGUGAUUACGUGGUAGAGUGCUUUCUUUUCUUUUUGGUCUGUUUGUAAACAGAGAAAGAGAGUGCAUAAAUUAGAG